rnacentral:lncRNA from 1 species
AUGAUAUGUGUGCGACUUUGGACAUGGUGUUACGGAGAAUUCGUGACUUGGCAGAAUGUUUGCCCUGAUGAGUCUUACACAGGAUCUUUUUGCCAAUUCUACACAUGCAAAUUUCAGCACAUAGUGUGCUUUAUCCAGUGCGAGUGCUGUUGCUGGGGGAGAGAUCAAAUAGAGUUGGUAGUCUACACCGGAAUAAACUUGCACAGGUGAUUAUUAAUGGACAUAACUGAGAAGGGGAACUUUUUUUUUUUAAUAAAGAAAUGAGCAGAAAAAUCACGAAAAUCUUUGCUUUCAUAGUUGUGGUCAUCAAGAGAAACUGGAAAAAGACCUUUGGAAACAGAUGUAAGAGCUUAAAGUAAAAUUCCUUUAGAUACUAACUGCCAUUGAGAUGUUACAACAGAUUAUCAUUUUUCCUGACAAAUAUGACUUUAUAACUCUCAACUGUUCUCUAGGUGCUAAGUAUUUAUUAUUUAUUAUUGGAAAUAAAUUAUGGGAAAUACAUUAAUCCUGAUUCUUUUCCCUCCAAAAACAUAUUCUUUUGGAUCCCCUUUUCUUAAGAUUUUCUAAUUGUUCUGAAAAUGACCUAAUUAUAUUAAUCAAUUAUUUUCAGGUUCUUACUUAGCUUGAUGUUUUUUUCAAGUCUGAUAGAGGCUCUGAGUGUCAAAGAGCUUUAGUUUCCCCAAGAUCUCUGUAUUUGCUGAUUUAAGGAAAGAUAGUAUCUCUGCAAAUGCUGCUUCAGCUCUUAGUAUACUCCUAUGGCUUGUCCUUGUCUCACCUGUUCAAUAGUUGGUGAUUGUAAAGGUUUCUGAAGGUUGUAAAGACAGAUGAGUUACAGAGAGGACAUUUCACCCAUCCUUUUGACAGUUCAGGGUCAAGUCAACCAUGUAGGCUUCCUCUGUUGUGGAGGAAGCAAAAAAAUAAUAAUGUUCUUAUUCUGUUGUAGGCAAAUAUAAAGAAAACAAGGGAAGAAACAAGAAUAUGCUUUAAUCCUGUUAAAAUCCUUAUAAUUUCUUU